GCUGUUGCUGUGGAUUUGAUUGACGUGAAACAUGUCGGUGUGGUGGUGGGAGCGAACCGGGAUGCAGCUGCUGGCAUGUGUGACGGGUAGAACCUGUACCCAAUCCACACAGCAUCACUUUUAAAAUGAUUAUACGAAGCUGCUUUAGUGUUAUUGAUCAGUUAUGAUUUUUAUUUUAAAUGAACAAACAGAACGCUGACUGGAUUUAUUAGAUAAGGCUUGGUCGGUUGUGUUCUGACUUGUAUUUCUGUUGAGGAGGUAUAGCCUAGGCUAUCUGCAUAAUGUGUUUGACGAUAUAGCCCUCAGCAUCAGUACCAGGCUCAAUCAGAAACACCUUGAUGAACCACAACCUGGAAUACAAGGACUAUUACAAUGAAGUCGACUUUCACAUAGAUCACAUCUCGUUUCUAAACCAGUGUAUAUAAUAGAUUAUAACACCACGUUGGCUGGCGUUUUGCAGGGUACUUUAUUACAUGGAGCUAUUUCCACCUUUUUGUCCCCGAGUAGAAUAUUUUUGUUGAAGUACACAUAAAAACGACCACUGCUCGCAAACUAUGGACGAGGAGAAUAUGACAAAAAGCGACGAGCAGCAUUUGAGUUUGCAAAAAGCUUUGCAGCAGUGCGAGUUGGUUCAAAAUAUGAUAGACAUAAGCAUUUCCAGCUUGGAGGGUUUGAGGACUAAAUGUGCCACAUCCAACGACUUGACUCAAAAAGAAAUACGAACGCUGGAGGGAAAGCUGGUGAAGUACUUCAGUCGCCAGCUGUCCUGUAAGGUGAGAGUGGCCUCACAGGAGGACAGCACUGAGCUACAGGACUUCCCCAGACUAGGACACUGGUUCCGCAUCGUCAACCUGAGGAAGGAGGUCACUGAGGAGAUGGAUCCGGGCGACGUGACUCUGGUGGGGCUGCUGGAGAUGAGUGAUGAGCAGGUGUGUGAGGCCAUGGAGAGGUUCGGAGCCAACAACGAGGAGUGUGCCCGGCUCAACGCCUCUCUGUCCUGCCUCAGGAAAGCCCACCAGUCAGAACAACUCGAGGAUGACUCAUUGCCCAAUAACGGAGCAGGCAGCCAUGCCAAGCAGGACUGGUCCAUCCAGUGGCCCACCUCCGAGUCUGGCAAGGAGAACAGUCCCUUCCCCUCUCCAGAACCCAGCCAGUGGGUCCGCUUCCAGCUCUCCCAAAGCCCCAUGGUCCAGGCAAAGUACAACCAGCAGCACCACAGCCAGUGCCACAGCCCCCAGUCAUUGCUACCCUAUCCGUACGGCCCCUAUGUCCAGCCAGACCGCCUCACCGUGGACAGCCACCUGGGACUGGGGGCCUUCCCCCCCAUGGACACGGGUCAUCGAUCCCUGCCACCCUCGCCCCGUCAGAGGCACUUUGCCCAUACCCCUCCCCGGACUCCACUGGUGGUGAACACCAUGACCCCCCCGGGCACGCCCCCCAUGAGGCGCAGAAACAAGGUGAAGGCCCCCGGGACGCCCCCACCCCCCAGCCGAAAGCUCAUCCACCUGCUGCCGGGCUUCACGGCGCUGCACCGCUCCAAGUCACACGAGUUCCAGCAGGGCAACCGCAUAGGCCUGGAGGCAGCUGACACGCAGACACUCAAAGUGGAGCAGAAGAAGUCCAAGCCUCAGCACCUGAAGAUCAACAGCAGUGUGGGGAGCUGUGAGAACCUCCCUACCCAACGCUCACCCCUCCACUCCUCUGACCAUCGCUCACUCCGUUCCUUCUUCUUCCCCACCUUCAUCCCCUCCACUCCCCCCGUCCACUCCGAUGCAAACACUCUGUCAGUGCCUCGCUGGUCCCCACAGAUCCCUCGGAGAGACCUGGGAAACUCCAUAAAACACAGGUUUUCCACCAAGUACUGGAUGUCUCAGACAUGCAUAGUGUGUGGAAAAGGAAUGUUGUUUGGACUUAAAUGUAAAAACUGCAAGCUGAAGUGCCACAACAAAUGUACCAAAGAAGCCCCACCUUGCCAUUUACUGAUCAUCCAAAGAGGAGGAGGAGGAGGAGGAAGUAACCCCCUCAAAGAUCACCAAGGAAAUCAAGCUCGUUUGGUACGGACUGAAUCGGUACCAUGUGACAUCAACAACCCGCUCAGGUACACAGACCUGCACAUCAGUCAGACGCUGCCCAAAACCAACAAAAUCAACAAGGAUCACAUCCCUGUCCCGUACCAGCCAGACUCCAGCAGUAACCCCUCCUCCACCACCUCCUCCACCCCUUCCUCACCCGCUCCACCCCUCCCUUCCAGUGCCACCCCUCCCUCCCCCCUACACCCCUCCCCACAGUCAGCACGGCAACAGAAACAGUUCAACUUCACAGCUUCUUCUUACUUCAAAUACAAGCAGCAGUUCAUCUUCCCAGACGUGGCCCCGGCACCAGAGGCCCCCAACAGAACACCCCAGGUCAUCCUUCACCCUGUCCUGUCUGAGCCUGGAAUCGAGGUGAACCCUUUAAAUCCUUUACUACAGAUUGAAGUUGAAGCGACAUCAGACAACGAGGAGGGCAACGACGAGGCGGAGUACUCGGAGGAUGAGUUUGAGGAGAUGAACCUGUCUCUGCUGUCGGCCCGUAACUUCCCCCGUAAAGCCAGCCAGACCUCCAUCUUUCUCCAGGAGUGGGACAUCCCCUUCGAACAGCUAGAGAUAGGGGAGCUCAUCGGGAAAGGUCGCUUCGGCCAAGUGUUCCACGGGCGCUGGCAUGGCGAGGUGGCCAUCCGCCUCAUCGACAUCGAGCGUGACAAUGAGGACCAGCUCAAGGCCUUCAAGAGGGAGGUGAUGGCCUACCGAAACACUCGGCAUGAGAAUGUGGUCCUCUUCAUGGGCGCCUGCAUGAGCCCUCCACACCUGGCCAUCAUCACCAGCUUGUGUAAGGGAAGGACUCUAUAUUCGGUGGUGAGGGAUGCCAAAGUCAUCCUGGAUGUCAACAAGACCAGACAGAUCGCCCAGGAGAUGGUUAAGGGGAUGGGCUAUCUCCACGCCAAGGGGAUCCUACACAAGGAUAUGAAGUCCAAGAAUGUCUUCUACGACAAUGGCAAAGUGGUCAUCACCGACUUCGGACUUUUCACCAUAUCUGGGGUUCUGCAAGCUGGCAGCCGUAGAGAGGACAAACUGAGAAUCCCCAGUGGAUGGCUUUGUCACCUGGCCCCUGAAAUAGUCUCUCAGCUCUCCCCUGAAACAGAGGAGGACAAGCUGCCUUUCUCCAAACAGUCAGAUGUCUUUGCUUUCGGCACUAUCUGGUACGAGUUGCAUGCACGUGAGUGGCCUUACAAGAACCAGCCAGCAGAGGUUAUCAUCUGGCAGGUGGGCAGUGGGAUGAAGCCCAACCUCACACAGAUCGGCAUGGGCAAAGAGGUAUCGGACAUCCUGCUCUUUUGCUGGGCGUUCGAGCAGGAUGAAAGGCCCAGCUUCUCCAAGCUGGUGGAUCUGCUGGAAAAGUUGCCAAAACGGAACCGUCGCCUUUCCCACCCAGGGCACUUCUGGAAGUCAGCUGAGUGCAGUUGACCAAGACCCCCUGAAUCUAGACUUCUCAACAUCCUCUGAAAUCACAUUUUUGGUUUAUUGUUUAAUCACAUGGAAUAUAUGUUUUAUUUGAUUAUUCGAUUGACCUGUUCAGUUUGUUUGUUAGCUUAUUUAUUUUGUCUUUUUCUCAAUGUCAUGUUUUUUUGUGUCAUGAUUCACUUAAUUAUCUAUGGAAAAUGCAUUUUUAUGAACAAAUGUGUGUUUUGUGUUUUCUUUUCGGACUGAAAUUGUUUUCAUAAUGAAAGUAAUUAUUUUACGAAUUGUGAAAUGUACAUUUUUAAGUCAUUGUCUUGCCAUUUCCCUUGUAUGUCAACUGUCUCUGUCAUGUGUUUGACCCUGGUUACCUCAUGGUCUCUCAUGUGUUUGACCCUGGUUACCUCAUGGUCUCUCAUGUGUUUGACCCUGGUUACCUCAUGGUCUCUCAUGUGUUUGACCCUGGUUACCUCAUGGUCUCUCAUGUGUGAAUGUCUACAUGUUUGUGUUUUCUACGUUUACUCAAAGCUUUUGUCUUAUAGGCAUUAUUUACUAUUGAAUGUGAUCCCUACUGCCAAUUGUAGGGCUGGAUGAUGGUACAGUACCUUGGUAGGAAACUGUUCUCCAAUUGGCCUGUGCUUUGAUUAUCAGCUGUGAACACUGUUGAGCAUGCAUCAAAAAAUGGCAUCCUGUUCCAUACAUGGUGCGCUACUAAGGUCAAAAGUAGUGCACUAGAUAGGGAAUAGAAUGUGAGCUGUUUAAACAACAGCCUUUUUUCCAAACUGUGCCCUUUGGCUGUUGGUUCAAUCAGUAGCGCCUACACUGACUGACUAGAAGUCUCUCACUCCAAUGUGAAAACGCUGACACUUGAAAUGUAUCUCAUUACAGUACCUACUAUGAACUUGCUUAAACACCUUGGAGAAUUGCUGUUACUGAGCCCAUGGGGAAAUAGGUGUAUAGUGGUUACUUUAUUGUUUUAAAGUGGACGAGGGUAAUCACAGAUGUACAGCUAGCUAAGCUCACUAUUUACCUCCAUUAAUUAUGACACAAUCGAUUUACUUCAGGAAUUCGUCAGCCCUAUAAUUGACAAAGCACUUUCUGAACAGACACCAUGAUACAGUAUAUUCUAGUAACAUGACUGUGUCCAUGACCUGGCCAUUUGUGUAAUAUAUUUCACUACGAUAUUUUAAAUAUAGCUAGCUAGAGCCCAGUCAGACUGAAUGAUAUCAUUAUGGAUGGAAAGAAGUGUCUCAGUAAGAACUGUAUAGCAACUGCUUUGCAGUCUGUACAGCCAUGUCUUAUAUAGAUGCAGACAAACCAGUCCUGUAUAUAGCCAUUUCUACUACACUAUAUUAUACAGUUUCCAACAGUGUUGGAAAUGCAUACAAACAAUUUGCUGCUGUUUUUUUGGAGUACAUCUGUCUAUUUUGGAUUUGCUGGGAUUCCGAUAUUGUACGUGGUAAUUUAUAUUUGUACUGUUUACAACUUCUAAGUGCAUGAAAUGGACUAUAAAGGAUCUAUUCUUGUUACUCCUUCAACUUUAUGGGGUGGCAGGCAGGUAGCCUAGUGGUUAGAACAAUGGGUCAGUAACCGAAAGGUCGCUGGCUCGAAUCCCCGCGCUGACAUGGUAAACGUCUGUCGUUCUGCCCCUGAGCAAGGCAGUUAACCCACUGUUCCCCGGGCGCCGAAGACAUGAAUGUUGAUUAUGGCAGCCCCCCGCACCUCUCUGAUUCAGAGGGGUUGGGUUAAAUGCAGAAGACACAUUUCAGUUGUACAACUGAUCACUGGGGUAUUUUCUGAUUGACCUGUUGUAAGCAUAGGGCCGUCAAACGAUACGGAUACAAUAGUUAUACUGCUGGCUUUGCAAAAAGGAAACGUUAAAAAAGGAUGUUUAAGAGAAUGAUUGUAAUAUUACGUUUAUACAUUAUAAUAGCCUAUCGUGAAGAGGAAUAACAGAUUGUGCUCAAUUCGACAAGAAUCUGACCAGAAAACGAUUCAACAUUUAGUGUCAAGUGUACAUAACAGAUUAUAGACCUACAAUCUUUAUCAUCAGUUGCUGUAAAUCAAUAUUACGGAAGCACUUUAUAAAAACUCCACGUAAUAAUGCAUUUAUAAGGAAUUUUAACAUAAUUUAUUCAUAAUGUAUUAAUCAUUACUUCCACAUUUGUAAAUGUUAUUAACCUAUUUAUUCACACAUUUAUAAACAACUUUUAAAGUAUUUCAUAAUGAUUUAUAAGAUCAUUCAAAAUAUGUUUAAUAUCGGUCCUUAUAAGCAUUUACUAAUCAUUAGUUAAGUCUUUUUUUAUAAAUACUUAAUAAACGUUUUGCAUGGCUAGUGUAAUUUCCAUCAAAAAGAUGGACAUGCCAUUGAGAGACAUUCCAGCAGUACCUGGUGCUCCUUAGGGUCUCAAAAUGUCCCCUAGAACACAUCAAUGGUUAAAAAAUCACACAAUACAGAGGAUGGUUAAGAAAAUAUAUUGGACAUGUUAUUCCAAAACAGUCACACUGUUGUAAUAGUGUGAUGUGGAACUUCAGAGUAAAAUAACGUCUUUAGUCCGAAAGUGCUAACAUAAGCGUUUCUUGGCCGUGACUUUUCUACCAAAACCAAAGUGUGAAUUUCAGUCUCUCCUUAGAGAAGUCUAAUCUCGGUUAACCCAGAACUAAAAUUGCAUGUAAUUUGGUCAGAAAUUGGGAGAACUACUGCUGCUCGUUAUCCUACACAUUCCAUCCCGUUGUCACAGAUUCCUCAGUGCAGGACCUGUCUACGAGAGAUUAAGAUUAGUCAAUAGACUGUUUGCAAAUAUCUGUAUACAUUAUUUGUCUUAACUAUCCCAUUACCUUACUACCUUUAAAGGUCCAGUAAAUGUGCCGCCAGACGAAGCCAUGUGUGAAAAUAGUGCAGUUAAAAGGCUAACGCACUGCCUCCCGAGUGUCGCAGCUGUCUAAGGCACUGCAUCGCAGUGCUAGAGGCAUUACUACAGGCCCGGGUUCAUUCCCGGGAGUACUCAAUUGUCAUACCCUUGAUGCAGUGGCGGUUCUAGCUUGUAUGGCUCCCUGGGCUCCCUGGGCUUCAGCGCGCCCCGCCAACAAACAAAAAAAAGCACCAUUCCACACUAACUGUAGUUUUUAUUCACACAUUUGGAACAACACAAAUAAAUAAUAAUAACAUUUGAGAUUAUAUAAAUAUACAAAUAUAUAGACAAAUAAGACUCAUAAAUAUCAAAAAGAAGUAACAAAGAUAAAUAGAAACAAAUUUGUGUUGAUUUGGCACUCGAGCAUCAAUACAUUACCCAUCCCCCAACACUGUCAACCAAGAGUCAAGACUAAACCAAUUCACCUUGGUGGUGUGCAGACUGGUUUUAUAUUAUCCUAAACGAUUUCGCACAAACCAGAAAAGAAUGCAACAGUAUGGCUGUGAAACUAUAUAUUCACAGUAUUAUGAAUGAAUUGUGGUUUAUUUGGUAGCAUUUCAUAGAGUGAUUUUACUAAUUGCAUUAGUAGUGUACAAAGUUAGAUGUGCGCUAUUUGAUAGAUUCCCCCGCUCUCGCUCCCCCACCUCGGGCUUCCAGUGGGGAGAUCUGAGGUCAACCUACACCCGCAUCCCUCCCCAUCUCGUACUUCUGAGUGGGAGACCUUCCCAGGAAGUAAGUAGCCUGCCUAGCUCACAAACUAGAAUCAGUGCGCCCACUCCGACAAGGUUAAUUGACCCACAGUCCCACACAGUGACAUGAUAUCAUUGAUGUGACGUGCAAAUGAGCAAUAGAAAACCGAUCUCGCAAAUGUCACCAAUCCGAAUUUUUGUGUGUGGGCGACUCGUGCCGCCUCCGGCAAGAUGCCACCCUGUGCGGCUGCCCAUGUCGCCUAUACCUCAAUCCGCCACUGCCCUGACUCAAGUAAAAGUGAAAGUCACACAGUAAAAUUCUACUUAAGUAAAAGUCUGAAAGUAUUUGUUUUUAAAUAUACUGAAGUAUCAAAAGUAAAUGUAAUUGCUAAAAUAUACUUAAUUAUCAAAAGUAAAAGUAUAAAUAAUUUCAAAUUCCUUAUAUGAAGCAAACCAGACGGCACCAUUUUCUUGUUUUUUACAUUUCCAUAUAGCCAGGGGCACGCUCCAACACAGACAUCGUUUACAAACAAAGCAUGUGUUUAGUGAGUCCGCUAGAUUAGAGGCCAUAGAGAUGACCAGGGAUGUCCUCUUGAUAAAUGCGUGAAUUAGACAAUUUUCUUGUCCUACUAAACAUUCAAACUGUAACAAGUACUUUGGGGUGUCAAGGAAAUUGUUUGGAGUAAAAAGUACAUCAUUUUCUUUAGGAAUCAAAUCAAAUCAAACUGUAUUUGUCACAUGCGCCGAAUACAAGUGUAGACCUUACUGUGAAAUGCUUACUUACAAGCCCUUAACCAAAAGUGCAGUUUAAGAAAGAAUAUAGUGAAGUAAAAGUAAAAGUUGUCAAAAAAAAACGACUUAAGUAGUCCUUUCAAGUAGUUUUACUUAAGUACAUUACACCACUGCCGGUGGGGCUUUACUUGUCUCAUCGCGCUCUAGCAACUCCUUGUGGCGGGCCAGGUGCCUGCGGGCUGAACCCCGUCGCCACUUGACCAGGUUUUCCUCCGACACAUUGGUGUGGCUGGCUUCCGGGUUAAGAUGGAGGGUGUUAAGGAGCGCGGUUAGGCGGGUUAUGUUUCGAAGAACUCAUGACUGCACUUUCGCCUCUUCCGAGCCGUUUGGGAGUAGCAGCGACGAGACAAGAUUGAAAAUUGUGGAGGAAAAGCGGGGUAUUUUUUUUGUUAUAAUCACUAAAGCACUGGAAGCAUUUCUACUUGCAAAUCAUACAUGUAACAUUUCUACCACAAUCACAUAUCAGUAGUAAUGGAGGAAUAAAAAUCCACUAGAGAAAAACUGUUCGGUCAGGCCAGCUGUUGUUUGUAGGCUACAUCUCCCUGCUACAUCUCCCUGUUUUAUGAUUAGUUUGUGUUCGCAAGGUUGACAACAUUAGCUCAUUAACUCUUCGUUAAGUCUUUGCAACCGUUGCUUUUGUGAAUAAAAUGUUCCAUAUAUUUCCUUUAACAUCCUGUGUUGUGUGCUUAUUAUUUUACCAUUGAUAAGUUCUAGGCUAUUUUGAGACCUUAAGGAGGAUCAGGUACUGCUGGAAUGUCCUCCAAUGGCAUGUCCAUCUUUUUGUGAGAAAUUACACUGGUCACUCAGAACAUUUGUAAAGUAUUUAUAAAGUAUAAAUAGCCUACACUUUUGACAAGGUCACACAAAAUACUUACCUAAUGAUCAGUAAACGGUUUGUAAGGACCUAUAUUAAACAUCUUAUGACUGGAGUAAUGAUUAAUAAAUGAUGAAUAAACUAUUUACCAACCAUUAGAAAUGCUUUAUUAUGUGGAGAUAUUCUAAAGUGGUACCAAUAUUCCAUGUGAACUAACUUAAGCAGUUUUGGUGUACAGGAUUUUUGGCUUACUUUAUGAAUUGUGUUGUUGAUUUUGUCUUAUUUUUUGUUAAUUCAGAUGUAUUUUUCUCCAUAUACCUUCUUAUAUUACGUAAUCAUUGAUGCUGUGUUUCUUUUCUGAUUCAGUCCUUGUAUUGUAGAGUAUAGCUCCAAAAGCUUGUAUUUAUCGAUGCUUUAUGGUCCAUGGCUUAGUGACGGGUAGAUUCAUCAGAAGCCAUGUGUGAAAAUAGUGCGGUUCAAAGGCGUAAGCACUGCCUCCUGAGUGGCGCAGCUGUCUACAGACCCGGGUUCAUUCCCGGGGUAUGCCACACCCGGCUGUGGCCUGGAGUCCCAUAGGAUGGCCACAAUUGGCCCAGAGUCAUCCGGGUUAGGGAAGGUUUUGGCCGGUGGGCAGUGGUGGAAAAAGUACCUAAUUGUCAUACUUGAGUAAAAGUAAAAAUACCUUAAUAGAAAUUGACUCAAGUAAAAGUGAAAGUCACACAGUAAAAUCCUACUUGAGUAAAAGUCUAAAAGUAUUUGGUUUUAAAUAUACUUAAGUAUCAAAAGUAAAUGUAAUUGAUGAAAUAUACUUAAGUGUCAAAGUAAAAUAAUAAAUCAUUUAAAAUUCCUUAUAUUAAGCAAACCAGACGGCAACAUUUUCUUGUUUCUUAAAUGUACGGAUAGCCAGGGGCACGCUCCAACACUCAGACAUAAUUUGUGUCAAGGAAAUUGUAUGAAGUAAAUAGUACAUAAUUUUCUUCAGGAAUCAAAUCAAAUCAAACUUUAUUUUUCACAUGCGCCGAAUACAACAAGUGUAGACCUUACCGUGAAAUGUUUAUUUACAAGCCCUUAACAUAACAGUGCAGUUCAAGAAAGAAUGUAGUGAAGUAAAAGUAAAAGUUGUAAAAAAAUAUAAAUAGUACGGUAAAGUACAGAUACCCCAAAAAACUACUUAAGUAGUACUUUCAAGUAAUUUUAUUUAAGUGCGUUACACCACUGCGGGUGGGUCUUUACUUGGCUCAUCGCGUUGUAGCGACUCCUUGUGAACAGUGUUUCCUCAGACACAUUGGUGCGGCUGGCUUCCGGGUUAAGCUGGCGGGUGAUAAGGAGUGCGGUUAGGCGGGUUAUGCUUCGGAGGACGCAUGACUCCACCUCUCCCGAGGCCGUUGGAGAGUAGCAGCGAUGAGACAAGAUCGAAAAUUGGGUAGGAAAAGGGGGCUAAAAAAAUCAUUAAAAUUUAAAUAAAGAAAAAACACUAAAGCACUGGAAGCAUUUCUACUUGCAAAUUUCUACUUGCAAAUCAUACAUGUAACAUUUCUACCGCAAUCACAUAUCAGUAGUAAUGGAGGAAUAAAAAUCCACUAGAGAAAAACUGUUCGGUCAGGCCAGCUGUUGUUUGUAGGCUACAUCUCCCUGUUUAAUGAUUAGUUUGUGUUCGCAAGGUUGACAACAUUAGCUCAUUAACUCUUCGUUAAGUCCUUGCAACAGUUGCUUUUGUGAAUAAAAUGUUCAAUAUAUUUCCUUUAACAUCCUGUGUUGUGUGCUUAUUCUUUUACCAUUGAUAUGUUCUAGGCUAUUUUGAGACCUUAAGGAGGAUCGGGUACUGCUGGAAUGUCCUCCAAUGGCAUGUCCAUCUUUUUGUGAGAAAUUACACUGGUCACUCAGAACAUUGGUAAAGUAUUUAUAAAGUUUAAAUAGCCCACACGUUAGAGAAGGUCACACAAAAUACUUAACUAAUGAUUAGUAAAUGGUUUGUAAGGACCUAUAUUAAACAUCUUAUGACUGGAGUAAUGAUUAAUACAUGAUAAAUAAACAAUUUACCAAGCAUUAGAAAUGCUUUAUUAUGUGUAGUUAUUAUGAAGUGGUACCAAUAUUCCAUGUGAAAUCAGCAGUUUUGGUGUACAGGAUUGUUGGCUUACUUUAUGAAUUGUGUUGUGAUUUUGUCUUAUUUUUUUAUUAAUUCAGAUGUAUUUUUCUCCGUAUACCUUCCUAUAUUACAUAAGCAUUGAUGCUGUGUUUCUUUUCUGAUUCAGUCCUUGUAUUGUAGAGUAUAGCUCCAAAAGCUUGUAUUUACCGAUGCCUUACGGUCCAUGGCUUAGUGACGGGUAGAUUCAUCAGAAGCUUUUUAUUUGCUCUCAUCCUCAACGAAAAAUGUAUGACAAUAAAAAUAUGUUUUCAUUUUGGA